UCCCAGUUCGGAUUGCAGUCUGCAACUCGACUGCAUGAAGCUGGAAUCGCUAGUAAUCGCGGAUCAGAAUGCCGCGGUGAAUACGUUCCCGGGUCUUGUACACACCGCCCGUCACACCAUGGGAGUCGGAAAUGCCCGAAGUCUGUGACCCAACCGGAAGGAAGGAGCAGCCGAAGGCAGGUCUGAUGACUGGGGUGAAGUCGUAACAAGGUAAC
rnacentral:rRNA from 1 species